rnacentral:lncRNA from 1 species
AUGGCCCCAACCUUUCAUGCUCUGCUGAAAGUGGAAGCAGCUUGCUGGGAAAUACAGCCCAAAGUCAAGGUGGAGGAGGUGAAGACAAAUGUUGGAAAUGAACAACCAGUAGUUUUCAUGUCCUGCAGAGAAGGUCCCAAGAAUGAAGAAAACAUUAUAGAAACUAAGAACCAAACUUUUCCCUGGAAGAAGUGGAAUUGAAGUGAAACAAUGAGAGAGAUUGAUGUUUGGAAGUAUGUUCAAGGACCUUUUUUAUCCUAAGGAAAAAAGGUGGGUUUUUUUUUUAAGAGUUUAUUUAUUUAUGAGAGACACACACAGAGAGGCAGAUACGUGGGUAGAGGGAGAGGCAGGCUCCCUGUGGGGAGCCCGAUAUGGGACUUGAUCCCACAGCCCCGGGAUCACAACCUGAGCCAAAGGCAGAUACUCAGUCACUGAGCCACUCAGGCAUCCUGGGAAAAAAAAAAAAAAACAACAAAGUUUUAAAGACUGUUUAGUAGACUAAAAACAUCAAUUUACUGGAAAGAGAUAUUCCCUGAAAACCAAAACACGUUUUUUAUGGCAGUCAAGUGUUGAUUAGCAGUAAGAAGUGAUCACCUGAGCUGCCAAUCUGAAUAAGGGUUUUUAAAAUUUAAGUCAAACAGAGACACCUGGGUGACUCAGUCAGUUAAGCAUCUUUUUUUUUUUUUAAUUUUUAUUUAUUUAUGAUAGUCACACAGAGAGAGAGAGAGAGAGAGAGGCAGAGUCACAGGCAGAGGGAGAAGCAGGCUCCAUGCACCAGGAGCCCGACAUGGGAUUCAAUCCCUGGGUCUCCAGGAUUGUGCCCUGGGCCAAAGGCAGGCUCUAAACCACUGCGCCACCCAGGGAUCCCAGCAUCUGACUCUUGAUUAUGGUUCAGGCCAUCAUGAUCUCAGGGUCAUGAGAUUGAACUCACAUCCCAGCUCCCUGCUCAGAGGGGAAUCUGCUUAAGGAUUCUCUCCUGCUGCCCCUCCUCCCACUCACCACUCUCUCUAAAAAUUAAAUCUUUAAAAAAAUUAAGUUAAGCAAAGUUUCAAGAGACAUGAGAGUGAAUGCUAACUUACUUCACACAUUGGACAGUUUAAAAGGAAACACAUUCUGUUUCUCCCCAUGGAGUUAGUCUUGCCCGGGGCUACCCCUAUAUUAGCAGAAUUGGUGCCCAGCCCCAUGAUCUAAUCCAAAGAAUAACCGAAGUCCAUCUGACAAAAUAGCCCUACUGUCUGCCAUCACCUUGUUUUUCCAUUUUCUUUGGCCUACAAUUAUUUCCCUGACAUUCACAGCAUAAAUUCAUUGAUUUUAUGGCUUUUGGGGGACAUGUGAAAUCAUUUUACGUAGGUAACUCCAGCAACAGAAGUAAAUGCAAAAGAUGAAGAAUGUUAACAGUGUGUGGUUGCUCUCAUCAACAGUGCUUAAAUAUUUGAGUAUUUUAUGUCUUUGCACAAGAUACUCUAUCCUUCUCUGUCCUUUCCAUGUUACUAGCCUCUCAUACCCAUCUCUCUUCUCCUAGAUGACUGUGCCACAUUCCGUCCUCUCUCCUCGAAUCCCCAACACAGGACAAGCUUCAGAACAGUUCUAGAGUUUUUAAUUGGCUGUGGUCAGGUUCUAAUGCAAUGAAAAAUAUGAUUCCAGUAAAAUGUAUGGAAGGCAAUUUGACUACCACUAUUAUGUCAUCAGACAACAGCAAUGUUUCACAGUUUCCCUGGAGGAAGGAAAUUUGCAAGAAUUCUAUGACUGUUAUUAAGAAGGCAUAGUCUUCAUGAUGGUUUUUACAAAUGUACCACUUUACUGGGCCUACCUAGAAAUGGUUUGAAG